GAUGAACGCUGGCGGCGUGCCUAACACAUGCAAGUCGAGCGAGAAGUAAAGAAAUGAAGCUUCGGUAGAUUUUCAUUAUGGAAAGCGGCGGACGGGUGAGUAACGCGUAGGCAACCUGCCCUGUACAGGGGGAUAGCCACCCGAAAAGGUGAUUAAUACCCCAUGAUGCAAGAGAUACACAUGUAUCACUUGUCAAAGAUUUAUCGGUAUGGGAUGGGCCUGCGUCUGAUUAGCUAGUUGGUAGGGUAACGGCUUACCAAGGCAACGAUCAGUAGCCGACCUGAGAGGGUGAUCGGCCACAUUGGAACUGAGACACGGUCCAAACUCCUACGGGAGGCAGCAGUGGGGAAUAUUGCACAAUGGGGGAAACCCUGAUGCAGCAACGCCGCGUGAAGGAAGAAGGCCUUCGGGUUGUAAACUUCUGUCCUAGGGGAAGAAACAAAUGACAUACCCUGGAGAGC
rnacentral:rRNA from 1 species